rfam:Colinus virginianus strain Texas jcf7180006227095, whole genome shotgun sequence.
ACAAAGGAUUUUUUCAACUAUAGCAGUUAUAAAAAUCCACUCAUUAAUAAUGCAGAGUGUUAU